UACGUAGGGUGCAAGCGUUAAUCGGAAUUACUGGGCGUAAAGCGUGCGCAGGCGGUGAUGUAAGACAGUUGUGAAAUCCCCGGGCUCAACCUGGGAACUGCAUUUGUGACUGCAUGGCUAGAGUACGGUAGAGGGGGAUGGAAUUCCGCGUGUAGCAGUGAAAUGCGUAGAUAUGCGGAGGAACACCGAUGGCGAAGGCAAUCCCCUGGACCUGUACUGACGCUCAUGCACGAAAGCGUGGGGAGCAAACGAGG
rnacentral:rRNA from 1 species